UAAGGGAUAUUGGUCAAUGGGGCGGGAGCCUGAACCAGCCAUGCCGCGUGAGGGAAUGAGGCCCUACGGGUCGUAAACCUCUUUUGCCGGGGGAUAACGGGCGCCACGUGUGGCGCCGUGAAGGUACCCGGAGAAUAAGCAUCGGCUAACUCCGUGCCAGCAGCCGCGGUAAUACGGAGGAUGCGAGCGUUAUCCGGAUUUAUUGGGUUUAAAGGGUGCGCAGGCGGGAGAUUAAGCGUGUUGUGAAAUGCCGCGGCUCAACCGUGGCACUGCAGCGCGAACUGGUUUUCUUGAGUGCGCGCGACGCAGGCGGAAUUCGUGGUGUAGCGGUGAAAUGCUUAGAUAUCACGAGGAACCCGAUUGCGAAGGCAGCUUGCGGGAGCGCAACUGACGCUGAAGCUCGAAGGUGCGGGUAUCGAACAGGAUUAGAUACCCUGGUAGU
rnacentral:rRNA from 1 species